GAUGAAGAACGCAGCGAAACGCGAUAAGUAAUGUGAAUUGCAGAAUUCAGUGAAUCAUCGAAUCUUUGAACGCACAUUGCGCCCCCUGGUAUUCCGGGGGGCAUGCCUGUUCGAGCGUCAUUUCACCACUCAAGCCUCGCUUGGUAUUGGGCAUCGCGGUCCGCCGCGUGCCUCAAAUCGACCGGCUGGGUCUUCUGUCCCCUAAGCGUUGUGGAAACUAUUCGCUAAAGGGUGUUCGGGAGGCUACGCCGUAAAACAACCCCAUUUCUAAGGUUGACCUCGGAUCAGGUAGGGAUACCCGCUGAACUUAAGCAUAUCAAUAAGCGGAGGA
rnacentral:misc_RNA from 1 species